GAUUUAGACUAAGUUUUAAAUUCUUAUGUUUUAGAUAUACUAUAUGCAUGGAUGUCAGUUUAUUUAUGUGUUUCCCCCACAGAAUAAGAGACAGAGCUCUGGGACGUGUGGACAGACAUUCACUGUGAUGAUGGACAUCUCCUCAUGGACAGGAAGUAGAGCACAGAUUGGAAUGGGGCAGUGUGAUCAAGAAAAGAGUGGAAUCAAACACAGAUCUCCUUGCUACGUUUCUGGACUUGGGAACAUUUCAGUUGCAUUGCUGUCUAUGCAGGGUCAGACAGCUCCAGAUUCCAUCGAAAAAAAUCUUAAUUUGUGUUCUGAAGAUGAACGAAGGUCUUACGGGUUUAAAACGACACGAGGGUGAGUAAUUAAUGACAGAAUUUUCAUAUUUGGGUGAACUAACCCUUUAAUAAUGAACCAGUUGUCAUCAGAAGGCAACAUACAUAAAUAGGGUCUUUCCCAAAACCAACACAUGGAAUCUCUGCAUUUGAGCAUUGUUCUAAUCACAGAGCUUUAUUUACACAUUUUGAUUUUUAAAAGUUUGCACUUUAAAAUAAACUUUUAAAUGUCAGCUCA
ensembl:lncRNA